rnacentral:tRNA from 1 species
GGGGGUAUAGCUCAGCGGAAGAGCGCAUGCUUAGCAUGCACAAGGUCCUGGGUUCAAUCCCCAGUACCUCCA